rnacentral:misc_RNA from 1 species
CGGUUUCAGCCCGCCCGACCUUUCCUACGCGAGUAACCCAGCACCACCACCACGGCAGCCACACUCGCGUGCACAGAUUUGCCCUGCGGUGCCUUCUCUCUGUGCGCUCUCCAACAUCCUAACCGUAUCCGCGAUGUCCGCCAAGACGGCCGCCGCUCCGUCGGAGCGCAGCUUCGUCGAUCGGUUUUUGCGCAGUCAUGCCGGCGCCGCCACAGCCGCCGGUAUCCUCGAGAUUGCCUUCUUCCAUCCGUUCGACACGACGGCGAAGCGACUGAUGGCAAACAAGGGCUCCAUCAUGCGCGGCUCCAUGGGGGAGACGGCCGCCAACCUCAACAUGAUCGUCUUCAAAAAGCACGCCGACGCCGGCUUCCUUCGAAAGGUUGUGUACCUCUACCCGGGCUCCCUGUACGCCACCGUGUACAAGGUCUUCCAGCGCGUCUACAAGUUCGCCGGACAGCCCCUCGUGCGCGACUUUCUCAGCUCCAACUACCGCGACGGCUUCAAGCGGUACUGUGGCGAGGCGCACAAGGUUAUGGAGGACGCGACGGCCGGCUGCCUCAUCGGCCUCGGCGAGGUCUUCUUGCUGCCGCUGGAUCGGCUGAAGGUAUUGAGCCAGACGAACGAGGCCGCCAUGCGGAGCGGUCUUCUGCCGCUUCUGCGCCAGGAGGGCUUCCGCGGUAUGUACGCGGGUACCGUGGUGACGAUGUGCCGCAACGCCCCCGGCUCGUUCUGUCUAUUUGGUGGCACAGCCUUCACGAAGGGGUACAUCUUCGGCCUCAGCGACUACCGCCAUGCGACUCUCUUCCAGAACAUGUGCGCCUCCACUGUGGGCGCGUGCGUCGCCAUCGCCAUCUCUAACCCGAUGGACGUCGUCAAGACUCGUGUGCAGCAGCAGACGGACGCCGAGCGUCGCAGCGGCAUGACGAUGGCGACGGCGAUGCUGAAGGAGGAGGGCGUGCUGUCCUUCUUCAAGGGCCUCACGCCGAAGAUCAUCGCCUCGGCGCCGAAGCUGAUUUUUGCGUACACCAUGACCGAGUACUUCUUCAAGGUGAUGAACGACUCCAAGAAGCGUUGAGCACGCCCCCUUGCACGCAUGGACGUGCGUGCGUGGCUGCAUCCUUCUCUUCCUUCUCCGUCCUACCGUCCCCUCACACCGAGGAGAGCAGUGCCGUGUGCAGCGGCUUGUGCCCCUCCCACCAUAGAAUGAAGACAGCAGGGGCGGCCAAGAGGAACGUCCGAAUACGCAAUAAUAACUGGAGCGCGGCUCGUGUGUGCGUGUGCGCGCCCAUGAUGGGGACAUGGAUGCGGUGGGACCAUCGAGUUGUACCGAUGCCAUUCACAAGGGGGCUGAAGGCGCUCCGGCCUGACCAUCUCCCCACCCUCCCCCGCCCUCCGUAGAUCGCGUUGGACUGGCCGCCAUUUCUGCCGGACGGGUGACGCUGCUAUGACGAUUCGUCUGCCAGUCACCAGAGCAUGGACGAUGGGCAGGGGGAGGGAGGCAGCCAAGGACUCUGCAGAGAUACAGCGGUCCCUCUCCGCCGCUGUCUCGCGCCGACACGAGACAGCGGGGGUUGGCGGGCGACGCAGCGCAGGAGAAGCAUCUUCACACUGAGGAAAGAAGACGGCAGGCUACGGCUGCUGCCCUUCCCUUCCCUCCCCCAUCGCCUCUGCGUCCGCCUGAUUCGACUCGCUCAUUUUUCCGUUUCGGUCUCGUUUUUUUCUUCGUCUGUGCUUGACGGCGAUACCGGACGGUUGGGAGGCGAUGAGGGGGCGGGGUGGCUUAGCGAGGGUGUUGACGCAGCGGCCAUGCAGGGCGAUUGCUGAUAAGGCACGGUGAUGCGCACCGACGCGACCUGCUCCUCUGUCUCUGCCCUCACCCCUCUCUAUCACGCCACGGAGUACUCCGCCCUCUCUCCCUUUUACAAGCAUCUGAGUGACACACACACACAUACACACACACGCACACGCGUGCACCGGCGCUUUAAGAAGUUUAACCCGAGCGGUGGACUGAAUGCUUUCUUCAUUCUCUCUGACACACACACACACACACACGUGCAUACGCACAUACGUCGGUGAAGACAUGCCUUGGGCAAGGGAGACAGACGAC